rnacentral:misc_RNA from 1 species
UUUCCGUAGGUGAACCUGCGGAAGGAUCAUUACAGAGUUCAUGCCCUCACGGGUAGAUCUCCCACCCUUGAAUAUUUAUACCUUAGUUGCUUUGGCAGGCCGUGGAAACACCAUGGGCUCCGGCUUAUGCGUGCCUGCCAGAGGAUACAAACUCUGUUUUUAGUGAUGUCUGAGUACUAUAUAAUAGUUAAAACUUUCAACAACGGAUCUCUUGGUUCUG